rnacentral:rRNA from 1 species
UACGAAGGGUGCUAGCGUUGUCCGGAUUUAUUGGGCGUAAAGAGCUCGUAGGCGGCUCAGUAAGUCAGGUGUGAAACCUCCAGGCUCAACCUGGAGACGCCACCUGAUACUGCUGUGGCUAGAGUCCGGUAGGGGAGCGUGGAAUUCCUGGUGUAGCGGUGAAAUGCGCAGAUAUCAGGAGGAACACCAGCGGCGAAGGCGGCGCUCUGGGCCGGAACUGACGCUGAGGAGCGAAAGCGUGGGUAGCAAACAGG